rnacentral:lncRNA from 1 species
CUAACAUGUACACAUGAUUUUGUCCCUGUGCCUGGUUCAAUGCCUAGUGGGGAAAAAGCUAGUGGAUUCCGAACGGGGGUUUGAAAAGACAACUGACCAAAAUUUGCUAUCCGUGGAUGCAUUUAAGGUAGCCCAAUAUUUCUCUGCAGGAUGCUUUUUAUCGCCGGAAAUGCGGAACAGCACGUCAAAACAGCACAGACGUCCGCGCUGUCGCCUUUCUGGAGAAACCCAAUCGAAAACCUGCAUGGGCAACCGAUCGUCUGCCAUCCUUCGCAAGUGUCCAUACCUCUACCCUGUACCUAUCUCCGUUCUGACUGCUGCGAGCUUAUGAAGGACAGGAAAGAGUUCUUGCCUCUUUCGUGAAAUUAUCUGCCACUUUUGCAUGACAUUUUCUCCCCUGCCUUUCUGACAUUUUUCAAUCAUGUUGACACUCUGCAUUUAAGUUGCCAUUUUGUUAUGAAAAAUUUCAACAAUGGUAAAAAUGGCUUUCACAUGAACUGCCAAGGAGAGCCCUUUCUGAGAAAUGGUAAAUGCUGAUUACUUUAGUCAGACUGUAAGUAACGAUUAUUUUUUAAUCCAUUUUUGUCUUCUUCUUCUUCAAGAGUACCUAUGCAAUGAAAAUUGCUAUUUUAAGCGUAAAAUAAACAUAUCUGAAAGUAAAUACAUAGUAACUCAAAACGUAGUGGAUUCGAUAGAUCAUUGAAAUGCAGGUAGUUGUACUUCAUGUGAUGACUACAAAAUCUUCGCUUUAUGUAAAAAAAAAGUGCGCUUGAAGAAAUGCAUGUGGGAUUUUUUUACUGGAUAUUAAUGUUUUUCGUGGUUAUAUCUUGUACCUUUUAAAUAUUACAUUCAAACCCCUUUAAAAACUUGCUAAACCUGUAUACAGAGUUGCAUGACUAGAAAAGAAGGACAGUAAAGCCUUCGGAUAAAAUAACUUAAAAAACGGGUCGAAUAAAGGAAAUUUUUUUUGUUUAACAAAUUGAAGUAAUGUACAUAAAAUUUAAACUGAGGUCAAAUAUGAUAAAGAGAUGUCAACCUCAUUGCUCAUGAACACACACAUCCGCACGCUCCCUCACAUGCAUACACACAAUCAGGUAUCUGUAUUUGUUUGUGUGCUUGAUGUGUAAGUAUAAAUAUUUUAAAAGGGGUACGUGCAAAACGGGCCAUUUCACGCUCGUGUCGGAUACCAUUGAAACUUGCCCUAUUUAUUCAUCUAACAAUGCCCCAUGUUUUCCCAAAGUUUCAAGUCCCCAAAAAAUUUUGGGGGGAAAUGGGGGGGGGGUCAAAGUUGGAAAUCCGCGAAAUUUUCGCGAAUUUUUUACUUGAAAACUACUAAAUAUUUCGAAACGCGGUUUAAACAAGCGUUUUCAGCGUGAAAAGAGCUUUCAGAAAAUGUAUAAUAUCAUAGGGUUUUGUUGACUUAAACUCGAGUUAUCGCCUCCGAAGCGCCGGAACGCUAUAAAAUGACCCGCUUUUCUUCACGUUCGGGCCGAUCCCCAAAAUAGCCCAUUUUAAUUUCUUUGAAAAACUGAUAUGUUGUUCCUGACUCUCUAUGGCACCUAUAUGUCUUUACCGUAUCCUGGGGAAAUGUUUUGUUCGCUAGUUAUAAGCGCGGAAAGGAGCGAAAGUCGGGAAAAUCGGCUAUUUUGAACUGCGCGCGGCGACGGAUCAGGAGACAUGUGGCAACAAUGCGAGGUCGGCAGAGGAGUGUGAUUCGCCGAACUGAGCAGGAGGGGGCGUUCUCCUUCUAACCCAUGCGACGCGCGCAGUUCAAAAUAGCCGAUUUUCCCGACUUUCGCUCCUUUCCGCGCUUAUAACUAGCGAACAAAACAUUUCCCAGGAUACGGUAAAGACAUAUAGGUGCCAUAGAGAGUCAGGAACAACAUAUCAGUUUUUCAAAGAAAUUAAAAAUGGGCUAUUUUGGGGAUCGGCCCGAACGUGAAGAAAAAGCGGGUCAUUUUAUAGCGUUCCGGCGCUUCGGAGGCGAUAACUCGAGUUUAAGUCAACAAAACCCUAUGAUAUUAUACAUUUUCUGAAAGCUCUUUUCACGCUGAAAACGCUUAUUUAAACCGCGUUUCGAAAUAUUUAGUAGUUUUCGAGUAAAAAAUUCGCGAAAAUUUCGCGGAUUUCCAACUUUGACCCCCCCCCCCAUUACCCCCCAAAAUUUUUUGGGGACUUGAAACUUUGGGAAAACAUGGGGCAUUGUUAGAUGAAUAAAUAGGGCAAGUUUCAAUGGUAUCCGACACGAGCGUGAAAUGGCCCGUUUUGCACGUACCCCUUUAACUGUGGAUUGAUUUUGAUAGUUGGGCUACUUCAUUUGAAAGUUUUCUGAUCCUUUUCCGAUUCCUAUGAUAAACGAGUCUUAACGUGACAGGCUGUCACAACUGGAACUGGCUCUUCGGAAACUAAUCGGCUGAAGAGGGAACCUGUGGUGGCUUGCGUCUACUGAAGCUGGCCGGUGCAACAGUUCUCGGAUGUGGUGUACGAUUAGAUCAAUGGCAACUACAACGCAAACCAACACAAGAACCCAUUAGUAAAAUAAAAAAAAAUCAUGAAAUAGAUACAAUGUAUUAGAAAUUUAAGAUUAUUCUGACAGCUGCAAUUAAAAUUUUGAAAACUGAAGCAAAAUUUUACAUUUGUGAGUUUUCUGUUCUGUUGUUGCAUUUACAUUUACUCCUAAAAGAAAUCUUUAGAAAAAAAGCAAGCACAAAAUUAAUUUAAUUAUUCAAAUUAUUUUCCAUUUUCUGGAGGACCAAUAUUUAUGAAAGAUGGGGAGAGUAUGGAUGGACAGACGCAAAGGGAAGGGGGUGGACACCAUCCUUUUACAGGAUCUCCAGGCUUCAAAACUGUUUCCCGAUAAAGUCUGAACACCAUUCAGUCUGUGCACAGUUGCUAGAUUUUGUCUGUUUUCACCAUCAUUAUAAUGCAAAAUUGAAAAAGUUCGUUUAAGAAACCUCCACCUCCUUGUAAAUUUUUAGCAUGCCUCUAAUCCAGCACAAACUAACCUUAUUGAUGAAAGAUCUCUUAAUAACAGCGAGCCAUUGCAUACAAAAACCGUUCAAACCUUUCUGCAUACAGACAAUGACAACUGACUAAUUUAUUUUUAGGACAGCCCAAGCGGCAAAGACUCGUGAUCUUGGGAAAUUGAGAAAGAUAAGGAAAACCAGGAUUUCAAAAACUUUAAGCUCAGGACAUUUUUAGGAGUAAAUGGUGCAACUAGUUAUUAAAUAGGUAUUGAUUAAUGUCUACUUGACUACAAUAAUUAUGAACAAUCAGCCUCUAUAUUUCUAAACACAAAAAGUGAAAAGAUUUUAAACGAUCCUGUCCAAAAUCUUCAUGGAGUGGCAGAUAACAUCACGAAUCAAAAUCAACGAAAUGGUCCCUUCACAUUUCGGAUGUGGAAGUUCGAAUUCAAAUUUUGAUUAUGCAAGACUGAGUAAUAGUUUUGGUGGAUUAUAGUUUUACACAUUUUAUAAAUUUGUCUGAUAAGUUGGGCUAUUUAAAGUUGCUUUGCUUUCUCCUACAGAUAAGUUAAAACAUCAACAAAAAAUAUCCUAACACAUAAAUGCUUGGGGGUCAGCAUGAGCAUGAUAUAACAAUUUCCAAGUCGCUAGAGGGUCCAAUAGGGGCAACAUGACCACCAACAAAAAUUAGUAGUUUUUUUGCUUAUUCUCCGGGUAAAGUGCAUCCUGUUAGACAACAAUGUUUCGUAAAUUGGUACUAUUUUUGUCAAAAAAUAUCUAUUUUUUAAUUUUUAAAAUAUUUUUAUCCAAUACUGAUUAAAGUAUAUAUAGAUUUGGCAUUCCCGAAAUUCCUAAAAAUGUGGAAUGAAAUUAUGAAGAAGGGAGAAUACCCCGAAAAAAAGAAAAUUAUCAUUAUUCUCUAAGUCUAAAAAACAGCCAGAAGAAAGGAAAAUACAUACUCGCAUUUUAGUCAGUGGGAGCAAACUUUACGAGCAACAACAGCGAAUAGAAUACUAUGACCCCUGGACCUUUCCCAAGAUUAAUUUGGAUUUCGAAAGGGAAAUUUACAAUUAAGGCUUUAGAAAAACUCAAAAGAAUAUACGAAAUGAACAUCCAGGAUAAAUAUCACAGAAUGAAAUGUUGGCGCUGACAAGGAUAGAUAUUAAAAACUCGUUCAACAAUCUAAACUGGGAGGCUGUAAGUAAAUUCAUGGAAGAAAAGAAAAUACCUAAUAAUAUACAUAAUAAGGAUAAUAAAAAGCUAUCUGACUGAGAGAAUGAUAAGAUAUUGGGGGGUGAUCUUUGAAAUAAUAAGCGGAUGCAGUCAGGGGAGGGUACUCUCUCAUUUGAUCUGGAACAUUGCCUUUGAUCAGAUUGUAAGACUAAAAACAGAUCCACAAAGCGAGAAAAAUGCAAAUGCGGAUGACGUCCUGGUCAUCCUUCUGGCUUAUGACAAAGAAAGCACUAAAGGACGACUCUUUUAAAAUAACAAAGCAGAUCAAAACAAAAGUAGACACACAAGAAUUAAAAAUGGAAACGCAAAAAACAGUAAGCUUGAUCAUUGCAAUAAAAGAUACGAAAAAAAAGCGAGAAUAAAGAUGAAAGAAGACUCAGAAAUCGAACCGCAACAAGAAAUGAAAUAGCUAGGGUUUAUGAUUAAGAAGAACUUGGGAUUAGGAAAACAUUAAUUAUGUGUGUGAUAAGGCCAGAAGGGUAG